rnacentral:rRNA from 1 species
UCUAGUGGCGAACGGGUGAGUAACACGUGGGUAACCUGCCCAUCAGAGGGGGAUAACAUCCGGAAACGGAUGCUAAAACCGCAUAGGUCUUCGAACCGCAUGGUUUGAAGAGGAAAGGAGGCGCAAGCUUCUGCUGAUGGAUGGACCCGCGGUGCAUUAGCUAGUUGGUGAGGUAACGGCUCACCAAGGCCGUGAUGCAUAGCCGACCUGAGAGGGUGAUCGGCCACAUUGGGACUGAGACACGGCCCAAACUCCUACGGGAGGCAGCAGUAGGGAAUCUUCCGCAAUGGACGCAAGUCUGACGGAGCAACGCCGCGUGAGUGAAGAAGGUUUUCGGAUCGUAAAACUCUGUUGUUAGAGAAGAACAAGUGCUAGAGUAACUGUUAGCGCCUUGACGGUAUCUAACCAGAAAGCCACGGCUAACUACGUGCCAGCAGCCGCGGUAAUACGUAGGUGGCAAGCGUUGUCCGGAUUUAUUGGGCGUAAAGCGAGCGCAGGCGGUUCCUUAAGUCUGAUGUGAAAGCCCCCGGCUCAACCGGGGAGGGUCAUUGGAAACUGGGGAACUUGAGUGCAGAAGAGGAGAGUGGAAUUCCAUGUGUAGCGGUGAAAUGCGUAGAUAUAUGGAGGAACACCAGUGGCGAAGGCGACUCUCUGGUCUGCAACUGACGCUGAGGCUCGAAAGCGUGGGUAGCAAACAGGAUUAGAUACCCUGGUAGUCCACGCCGUAAACGAUGAGUGCUAAGUGUUGGAGGGUUUCCGCCCUUCAGUGCUG